AAGUCGUAACAAGGUAACCGUAGGUGAACCUGCGGUUGGAUCAUUACCAAUUUAAAUAGGGCCUGUAAAGGGUCUUACAAACCAUGUGCACUUUAAUAAUUGUUUUUGGGUUUAGUUUCAUUACUAAGCCCAACCUUUUUUAUAAACCUUUUACUGUCAAGUUUCUGAUUGUUUUUUUUAAAAAUUUUAAAAUAACUUUUGACAACGGAUCUCUUGGCUCUC
rnacentral:misc_RNA from 1 species